rnacentral:rRNA from 1 species
AACGAACGCUGGCGGCAGGCUUAACACAUGCAAGUCGAGCGCCCCGCAAGGGGAGCGGCAGACGGGUGAGUAACGCGUGGGAAUCUACCCAUCUCUACGGAAUAACGCAUGGAAACGUGUGCUAAUACCGUAUACGUCCUUCGGGAGAAAGAUUUAUCGGAGAUGGAUGAGCCCGCGUUGGAUUAGCUAGUUGGUGGGGUAAAGGCCUACCAAGGCGACGAUCCAUAGCUGGUCUGAGAGGAUGAUCAGCCACACUGGGACUGAGACACGGCCCAGGCUCCAGCGGGGGGCAGAGUUGGGGAAUAUGGGACAAGGGGCGCAAGCUGGACCCAGCCAUGCCGCGUGGGUGAUGAAGGCCCUAGGGUUGUAAGCUCUUUCACCGGUGAAGAUAAUGACGGUAACCGGAGAAGAAGCCCCGGCUAACUUCGUGCCAGCAGCCGCCGUAAAAC